CGGAAAGACACGAGGCUGGAAAGAACAAAGCGUCUGUCAGAAAUACCCUCAUUUGCCUUGCCAUCUCGAUGAGACCAGGACCUAAACAGAGAGCCUAUUGGCGAUUAGCUGAGCUUUUGCUUAAAAGAAGUCCAACGUGAUAAUCAUUGAAUGGAAACUAAGCUAAAAUAGACAGGGGUCAGGUUCUCCGAUGACUUAUGAUUUCCAGCAGCUAGGCACUAGUCCGUUGUGUCUGAAUAAUGUCAUGUUCUGACAGUGGUUAAUUGCCACCCAAUUAUCAAAACUUUCUGGGCUGAUCAUCAUCUCAGAAGAGCUCACACAUUAUUAAUCUUGUCUUUCACCAGGAGAAGUGCAAGACUUGGAACCCUCUGUGGGGGAGAAGACGGGAAUGCUACUCGCUGCAUUUCUCAGCUUAACUCGCAGGGCUGAGUGUUUAACUCCUUGAAGAACACUUCGACAAUUAACAUACAGACUACCUCUUUCCAGGCCCACUGGUGGGGUACUCCACAGUCAUUCAGGUCCAGGUAUUUGUCUGUGACAGUCACUACAUGCUGCUGUUAUCAAUGGCCUUGUGCAAGAUUUGUGAAUACCACCAGGUACACCACUUGGAGCUGUAUAAUUCCCAU
rnacentral:lncRNA from 1 species